rnacentral:rRNA from 1 species
GCUAAGGGAAGGGAAUUGGAGGAAGAGUUUUUGGGUAAGGGAUGAGAAUUGGAGUAAAAUUUAGGGAUAUGAUUAGACAAUAGUUUAUAAGUUGAUAAUUAGGCAGCAGUGGGCAAUAGUAUGAGAGAGUGUUAUUCAUUUUAAUAGGUUUAAAGGGUAUUAGAGGUUUAAUUAGUAAAGCGGUACAAUUAAUUAGAGUUUUAUAUAAGAAGGUAGUAUUGGAGUGUAGUGAUAAAAUAUUUGAUACCCGGGGGAUGGCAACGGGAAGGCAACCUUUAUUUAAAAUGACGUCCAAGGAGAAGGUUAGAGCACUAGAGGGAUUUGGUACCCCAGUAGUCUUUGCAGAAAAUUAUGAAUGUCAUAGAUUAGUAAUAGAUAUUAGGUAGUGUAGUGGGUGGAUAUUUAAUCUUACACUCCACUCCACUUUAAGUACAGGUUGAUAACAGUAUAAUAGUAUGGUUGGGCGCAUCUUCUUCGGCGGCCCGUAAGGUUAACUAUGUAUUAAUUAUGCAUAGUACAGUACAUAUGUACUAUGUAUGGAAGCCACC